UUGAAGGAUAGCUGGGUUGUUUCCAGUUUUUGGCUAUUAUGAAUAAAGCUGCUGUGAACAUUUGUGUGUUGGUUCUUAUGUGAACAUAAGUUUUCCUUUCUUAGGGAUAAAUGCCCAGGAGUACAAAUGCUGGGUCAUAAAGUAGUUGAAUUUUAUUUUUUUAAGAAACUACCAAACUGUUUUCCAGAGUAGCUGUACCGUUUUAUAUCCCCAUCAGCGAUGUGUAAGUGCAAAGAAUGUAUUAUUAUUUUUAGAAAAUAAAAUUACAUAAAUGCACAGCAGAAAUGGAAUAAUUAAGUGUUGAUUAUAUAUCUAUAUCAUGGAACACUGUGUGGGUCCUCAGAAAUGUUUAUACAGUGUUUUUGUUACUACUAAAAAAUGGUUAUGUAAAGUAAAAAAACAGAAUCUGAAAUACAAUUUUAAAGUCAUGAACGCACAGAAGAUUGAGAAGUGGUUCAUAAUUGUUAAUUUGAAUAAAAAUGUUUAUGACAAGUAUAUGUUGAAGAUACUUAUAUUUAGCUUGGUUCUUAUUCAUUCCUAGCAGCUGGUACUAACUCAGAAAAAAAGGAAGGAGAGUCUAUUUUUCCCAUACUCAUCCUUGAUUAUAGUACUAUUGAAGGGCUCUGGGUGUUUACUAUCUAGGAAAAUAAAAUACUUUUACUAAGUGUCUUACUAUAUGCCAGGUCCUUUAUGAAAGUUAAUAUAAUAAACUUAAGAAUACCUUAUUCAUCCUGUUUUUAUCAUCAUCCCACUAUGAGAAUAUAUAAAUGCCCUCAUUUUUUGAAGUUCUUACCUUCUCUCUUUAAGCAUGUAACAAUUUUAUAUAAUAUAAGCCCUAUAUCACUUGGAACCAUAUCUCUAAAUUAAUGACAGUGUUCAUUUUUCUGUUUUUGUAGCUCUAGCUUUCAUUUUCUGUGAUUCCCAACACCUCUUCUGCCUCUGCUAGUUCAAGUCCUCUCCUGGAAGUUCUCCCCAUUUUAUAGCCUAUACUCUCAUCUGUCAAAAACUCAUUUUGUCCCUUUCAUUAUGUGUAAAUAGAAUUAUCUGUCUUACCAACCAUAUGAUCUGGCCAGCCUUUCCCUCAAGUAUAAGCAUUUAAGAUCAAACAAAUUUUUUAAAAUAAGUUUUUUAGUUUUGUUUAAACACUAUUAGCUGUUUUCUGACUUUUAUUGAAAAUGCAUAGUAUUAGGUUAUACCACAUGAAAUUGAUGUAAUGUGGCAAUUUCAUGUUUCAGUGGAAAAUUUCUUUAGCCUAUGGGUUAAGAACACUUUUGUUAAGUUAGCCUAGGAGCUCGACCAUCCCAUAGAUUGUUGUUUCAGUGUGACAGUGAUCUCCGGGUUUUUAAACAACAGUCUAUUACUGUAUUUUUUGGGGGGAAUACAGAACGUUUUUAUAUUUGUGGUUUGAUAUCCAGCCAUUUGUGGUCUUUACCUUGGAAUAUUUAUAUUUUUUCAUCAGCAGUGAUUCUGAACUGCCCCCUGCCUCUGACUGUGCUUAAUCUGCCACUGUUCAAAUAGCACUGCAGUGUCACUGGGCUAUGGGGUUCUUUGAAGCCAGAGUUAGUUAGGGGAAGAACUGAAGAAACAAGAAAUGUACAACCCCAAGCAGUAUAGCAUAGCUAUGAAUGCUGUAAGUGGGAAGACAGAUCAGCCUGAACUGCAGUCAAGAUAGAGCUAAGGCCUUGGACCAGUGGUUCUUCACCCUAGCUAUAUGUUAGGAUAACUUGGAGAGUUUAAAAAAACUAUUGAUGCCCACCCAAGCCCUACCCCCAGUAAUUCUGUUUAAAUUGGCCCUGGCAACAGUAUUUUUGAAACUUCCCCAUAUGAUUUUAAUGAGCAGCCAAGGUCAAGGACCUUUGUUUUGGCCCAGCUUUGAAAGCAAGGAGCCAAGUCAUAAAUAGCCACAGGCUUGGAAUAAUUACUGCCAGUAGUAACACCAAGACUAAUCUUUGUGCAGUAUGGGGAACACAGCUAGAUUGUUUCUUGGUAUUUUUUCCCCCUCUGAGCCACAUCGAGACAGAGGAGUUGUUAAAAUUGUCACCUUCAGCAGUGAAGAAUAGCAGUGUAUCAUUAUGGAAUUCAGAAAAGUAUGGAUGUAGUUUUUGUGGAGGCUGAGGUUAUGAUAGAAACGUAGAGAUAAUCCAGGUGAUCAGUGCUAGCAUCAAUGAUAAGUUAUGUUGAUAGUAUUUAUGUCUGAUAAUGAUGUGAUAAGAAUGGCACUUGAGAGGUAUUUGGUCUUCUUCCUAAAAAGCCAUAACCCUAGUCUAACCACGAGAAAAACAUCAAACAAAUCCCAGCUGUGGGACAUUGUACAAAAUACCUGACCAGUACUCCUCAAAACUGUUUAAGUCAUCGAAACCAAGGAAAGUCUGAGAGAAACUGUCACAGCCAAAAGGAGCUAAGGAGACAUGAUGACUAAAUAUAGUGUGAGAUCCUGGCUAGGAUGCUGGAACAAAAAAAGGACAUUAAGUAAAAACUCAAGAAAUCUGUAUAAGUACAGACUUUUGUCAAUAAGGUAUCAGUGUUGGUUCAUUUAUUGUGAAAAAUAUACUAAUGUAGGAUGUUAAUAAUAGGGGAAGCUGAGUGAGGGGCAUAUGGGAAUUAAUACUAUCUUCACAAUUUUUCUGUAAAUCGAAAAGUAUUAUAAAGUAAAAAGUUUAUUGAAAAAAAUGCAAAAUAGGAGACAAACUUAGCUGAGCUCAAGAGAGAUCCAAUAGAUGGAACCACGUGAAAUCACCAAUAUUCAACCAUUUUUGAACUCCAAAAUAAACAAUUUUAAUGUUAACAAUGGAGAGAACUAGGUGUGGGAUAUACAGGAAGUUGUACUAUCUUAUGCAACUCUACUUUAGUCUGAAAUAACGAAUUUAUCUAAAAAAAAUAAUAAUAUAAAGAAAUCUUGAGGAUACUUACAAAUAGGUUUGAUAACUAUUCUAACUACCUUAAAAGCAUAGUUGUAUAUUUUCUGAUGUAUCAUGAGUCUGUUUCUAAUCCAAAUGGUGAAAAUACCUUUGGUAUCUUAAUGCUGUAUCUGUUUACUUCAUAUAUAACAGAAUUCCAAAACUUUAGAAAUUUUAUGUUUCUAAAUUGUUGCUAUAAACUGGAGCUGGAAAUCAUUCCAUGGUUAUACCAACAAAUCUCAUGUUGGUGAUUGUUACUCAUUUUUCCUAGUAUGUACUUGUUCCUCAUUUUUCUUUAUCUUCUUUUGCAAGCCUUCAAGUCCUAUAUCCUUGUUGACUUCUUUUCAUUCUUCACUUUUUGAUCCUACACCUUUCAGUUACAUUACAGCUUUUGUACCGUUUUGGCCUUCCUCCACUUGUUCAUCUAUGCAUUUAAAAGCAGAAAGUAUUUGUAGUUUGCUAACAAUGACACCCUGACAUUUAAAACACCAUGCUUAUGAGUAUAUGAUUUUCAGCUAGCUUUACUAGCUAAACCCAUGACAAGGUGUGGAUAUGUGAGUCUAAAUCCAUUCCACCUAAUGGAAAAUUAAGCUAGGUUCACAUUAUUUGUCUUUAUAAGUUAGAGCACAUUCCAGUGUUAUAUUCUAUUUCUAGCCGCCGCCAUCCAAAAAAAAAAGAGAAAGAAGGAAGGGAAAAACGAAGGAAUGAGGGAAGGGAGACCUGAAGGAAGCAAGAAGAGAAAGAAGUGCUUUGCUUCUAAGUUGCAGAUGCAGUGGCUGAACAAUACGCUGUGUGGUGUGACAGGAUAAUACAGAAUCCCAUCAUUGGGCAUUCAUUUAUUUGCUGCUCAUCAAGAUGAUUGACAGUUUUGCCAACAACAUGGAAAAAGGAUCUUCCUUCAUGAUGCGUACAAGAAGAAUUUUACCCCUCAGUGAUGAGUACCCUACAGAAAAACGGAUUCUUGUGAAUUCUUUUUCAGAGUUGGUAUUUAUUUGAAUUCUGAGUUUAGAGACUAUGAGUAUAAAUUUAAGUCAAGUGUGUAGCAAAUGAGGAUAGCAGUGUCCUGCUGGCAUCUUUCGUCAAGUGAUUAUACGUGUAGGCCAUUAGGACAAGGAGGGAGAAAGAUAGGAAAACCCAAAAUGGAUAUUUUUUUUCCCAGUGCUUAGCAUAGUGUUAGGCACAUAGUAGACCACUCAAUAAAUAUUUAUUGAAUUUGAAUUAAAAAUUAGGUACCGGGUAUAUUUGAUAUUCUGGAAAUGUGACAAACUAGAUUUAAUUGGUUUAAGUAGGUUGUUAAAAAUUAUAGCAAAAAGAAAUUGUAGAUUACUAGUCUGUCUUUUUUUUCUUUAAUGAAUACUUCCCUUUAAUAGCUUACUAGAUGUACAUUUUUAAAUGCAGACUUCUUCUAUAAAUAUCGUCUUUUAAAAAAGGCAUUGUUUGCUGUUAAUUUUCAUAACUGGUAGGCAAAGCUGUGAAUUUAAGAAAUAGAUGUAAAAAAUUCUAAUUCUCUUAAAACAGAUUUUGUUUUUAAAAAUUGGUAUAGUUCCACAAUCUCAAAAAAUAUCUUUUUUUUUCUUUUCGAAUGGUAUAUUCUGAGCAAGUUAUUUACUUGUAGAGGAAUAAUUUUGCAUUAUUUUGAUAACAUUUCUUGUCCUUUGUUUUAAAGCAAACAAAAGUAUUGGCUUGAAAGUUACUGAAUAAUACUUUGCAAACUGUUGUUUCAAUUGUAACAUUUAGUGGUUGUUGGACACUUUACAUAUAAUUUGAAUCAAAACUCUUUAGUGCAUAUUUUUCAAGCAGAUUAAUUUUAGAGAUUUGCUUUAUAUAAUUAAUAUAUAAUUUGCUUUUUAAUCACUAAUCAAGAAAGUUAAUCGGUCUUUGCUCCCAAACAAUAGGAUAAAUUUUAACCUCCAACCAGCUUUGCAAAUUUGGAUAAUUUGGUUGUUGUAUUUACCAAAAAUAAAUAUUUGGAGGUUGAAUCUUCUCAAAUUCAUUAGGUUAGUCCUGAAUAUUUAGCAGGAAUUUUUUGGUGUACUGCUUUAGAAAGACAGCUCAAACUGUACAAAUUUACAGAUACUUUAAACGUACAUAUUUGGUAUGUUCCUGUCUUCAGUUACAAAUUUGUAGUUUGUAACAAAUUUAAUCUUAUUUAAAUAUUUAAGUUAAAUGUGAGAUACGUUAAUUUUUGUAAAAAACUGGAUAAAGUCAACAUAGGAAAUGUAAAAUAUAGUAUUUUGUAGCUUUCUAUGUUAUUACCUUGCCCUUCCUGUUUAUUUAUGGUCUGUAAAAGUAGAUAAGGUUUUUUUCUGUUUCACUUGUCCAGAUGGUUUUUAAUAUAGAAUGAAUGAACUCGCAAGACCAGAAUCUCUACCUAAAGAAGGAGAUGCUACUGCUUGAAAUUAUAUCAUCACUUAGUUUGACUUUAGGGUUGUUAGAGACUUCUGCCAGUGCUUUGUGUGAGUUGCUUUAAGUUUAAAACUUUGUUUCAGUAUCUUAAAAAAUAGGGUAAAAUGAUGAAGAAUGUUCAUAGCAUUAUGCAUAAUAGCCAAAAAAUGGAAACAGCCCAAAUGUCCUUCAGCUUAAGAAUAGAUAAACAAAAUGUGCUAUAUUCAUACAGUGGAAUAUUAUUCAGCCAUAAAAAG